GAUGAACGCUGGCGGCGUGCCUAAUACAUGCAAGUCGAGCGAACAGAUGAGGAGCUUGCUCCUCUGACGUUAGCGGCGGACGGGUGAGUAACACGUGGAUAACCUACCUAUAAGACUGGGAUAACUUUGGGAAACCGGAGCUAAUACCGGAUAAUAUAUUGAACCGCAUGGUUCAAUAGUGAAAGACGGUUUUGCUGUCACUUAUAGAUGGAUCCGCGCCGCAUUAGCUAGUUGGUAAGGUAACGGCUUACCAAGGCAACGAUGCGUAGCCGACCUGAGAGGGUGAUCGGCCACACUGGAACUGAGACACGGUCCAGACUCCUACGGGAGGCAGCAGUAGGGAAUCUUCCGCAAUGGGCGAAAGCUUGACGGAGCAACGCCGCGUGAGUGAUGAAGGUCUUCGGAUCGUAAAACUCUGUUAUUAGGGAAGAACAAAUGUGUAAGUAACUAUGCACGUCUUGACGGUACCUAAUCAGAAAGCCACGGCUAACUACGUG
rnacentral:rRNA from 1 species